AUUGAACGCUGGCGGCAUGCCUUACACAUGCAAGUCGAACGGCAGCAUGGGAGCAAUCCUGGUGGCGAGUGGCGAACGGGUGAGUAAAGUAUCGGAACGUGCCCAGUCGUGGGGGAUAACGUAGCGAAAGUUACGCUAAUACCGCAUACGAUCUAUGGAUGAAAGCGGGGGAUCGCAAGACCUCGCGCGAUUGGAGCGGCCGAUAUCAGAUUAGGUAGUUGGUGGGGUAAAGGCUCACCAAGCCGACGAUCUGUAGCUGGUCUGAGAGGACGGCCAGCGACCCUGGGACUGGGACACUGCCCAGACUCCUACGGGAGGCAGCAGUGGGGAAUUUUGUGCAAUGGGCGCAAGCCUGAUCCAGCCAUGCCGCGUGCAGUAUGAAGGCAUUCGAGUUGUAAACUGCUUUUGUACGGAACGAAAAGGUUUGGCCUAAUAAUCUGAGCUCAUGACGGUACCGUAAGAAUAAGCACCGGCUAACUACGUGCCAGCAGCCGCCGUAA
rnacentral:rRNA from 1 species